AACGAACGCUGGCGGCAGGCUUAACACAUGCAAGUCGAGCGCCCCGCAAGGGGAGCGGCAGACGGGUGAGUAACGCGUGGGAAUCUACCCAUCUCUACGGAAUAACGCAUGGAAACGUGUGCUAAUACCGUAUACGUCCUUCGGGAGAAAGAUUUAUCGGAGAUGGAUGAGCCCGCGUUGGAUUAGCUAGUUGGUGGGGUAAAGGCCUACCAAGGCGACGAUCCAUAGCUGGUCUGAGAGGAUGAUCAGCCACACUGGGACUGAGACACGGCCCAGACUCCUACGGGAGGCAGCAGUGGGGAAUAUUGGACAAUGGGCGCAAGCCUGAUCCAGCCAUGCCGCGUGAGUGAUGAAGGCCCUAGGGUUGUAAAGCUCUUUCACGGGUGAAGAUUAUGACGGUAACCGGAGAAGAAGCCCCGGCUAACUUCGUGCCAGCCGCCGCGGUAAAAC
rnacentral:rRNA from 1 species